UAGCCUACGGGGGGCAGCAGUGAGGAAUAUUGGUCAAUGGCCGAGAGGCUGAACCAGCCAAGUCGCGUGAGGGAUGACGGCCCUACGGGUUGUAGACCUCUUUUGUCGGGGAGCAAGACCCGCCACGAGUGGCGGAGCGAGAGUACCCGAAGAAAAAGCAUCGGCUAACUCCGUGCCAGCAGCCGCGGUAAUGCGGAGGAUGCGAGCGUUAUCCGGAUUUAUUGGGUUUAAAGGGUGCGUAGGCGGUCUGGUAAGUCAGCGGUAAAAUUGCGGGGCUCAACCCCG
rnacentral:rRNA from 1 species